rnacentral:misc_RNA from 1 species
UCCGGCUUAUCACCGGCAGUUUCCUUAGAGUGCCCAGCAUAACCUGUUGGUAACUAAGGAUGAGGGUUGCGCUCGUUGCGGGACUUAACCCAACAUCUCACGACACGAGCUGACGACAGCCAUGCAACACCUGUGAUGGUCCGGCCGAACCGACCCAUGAGUCUCCUCACGGUAUGACCACCAUGUCAAGGCCUGGUAAGGUUUUUCGCGUAGCAUCGAAUUAAACCACAUGUUCCACCGCUUGUGCGAGUCCCCGUCAAUUCCUUUGAGUUUUAAUCUUGCGACCGUACUCCCCAGGCGGAGUGCUUAACGCGUUAGCUUUGACACUGAGACUAAUGUCCCAAUAUCUAGCACUCAUCGUUUACUGCGUGGACUAC